UUCCUAGCAACCUUACCUUGUCAGACAAGUUAAAAGGUCAACUAUUUAUAAGGUGCGGCAACAGUCUGGUUAGCUCUGACUGAGUCAUGGGCAGGGUGUGGAGGCCUUUGAAGUCAAAGGUGGGUUUGAAGUAAAUGGGUUUGUUUCUUAUUGCUGCUUUCUAAACUCCCAGGAGGAGAAAGGGAUGCCGAUGGGGAGAGGACCAGAGGAAGGAAAGAGGUGAGAGCGAAGGCCGAGUGUGCCACACAUCAGGAGCUGGUUAUGCAAGUCACGUGCUCUCUAAUUGACUCUGUAAGCCACCUUGUAAAGUAGCUACCCCUGUGUUUAUUUUGUGGGGAAAGUAAAUAUGCAUCAGAAAGUUUAAGAAAAUUGCCCGCAGUUACUUAGCCAAUCAGAAUGGAGCAGGAUGUCGGCAUCCAAGCUGGGAGCUGUUUAUCCUUAUGUUGUUUCUCUUCGCAUUUAACCAAGAUGAUUCUGCAUCUGCUUGUCCUGUGCUGUGUGUUGGGCAUGAUGAUGUAAUAAUGAAGACACCCUUCUCAAUUCCCUGAGCACAAGGUGUUCCCUGGCUGGUAGCAAACUCAGACGUUGAAACAGUUUCCAUGCAGAGCGCCCCCUCUCCGCCUCCUAGUGCCCCAGGUGCCUCAGGUGUAGAGGGACUGAAGAUUUUCGGAAACCCCUCUCACACGCGGACAUUGGGCACAAAACAGACAAGAAAGAGGUUGGGAGGAUGGAAGAGAGAGGAGUUGCCUGGAUUGCUUUAUGUCAACUUAUAGAAGCUUAAGGUAUCUGAGAGGAAGGAACCUCGAUUGAGAAAAUGCCUCCAUACAAUCAGGCUGUG
rnacentral:lncRNA from 1 species